GCCAUUGUAGUUCAGUGGUAGAAUGCAACCUCUUGUAGGGUGUGACCUGGGUUCGAUUCCCAGCAGUGGCA